UGCUCUUCUGAUCUGCAUUGUGAAACCUUUCCUGAAUGUGACCCGCUAUGUAAUAGAAUAAGUUGUAAAACUUCCUAAAUGUAGUCUGGUAUGUAAUAGAAUAAGUGAUUGUACAUGAACUAA